rnacentral:sRNA from 1 species
UUCUAGCCCCGAUGGAAACGGCAUCCUUUUUUUGCGCUGGCUUGAAAAAAGCGCAGGCAAAAAAGAUACAGUGGACAGCGGGAUUAAGC